ACUAUAUUAUAUUAGAUUCUUGAACCGUUAACCAUCAUUUUACUGCAUAUAGAGGGCAACUGUAUACUUCAUGCAAACUACACAGACUAGCAUUUACUUUGUAAAGGGAAAGGCAAGAUGAUUCUCAAAGGAAACUGGAGGAAUUCUGGGGAAAAAAUAGAGGAGAUAAGUAUU